rnacentral:tRNA from 1 species
GCUGGUGUGGUGUAGUGGUUUGAACGUUGGACUACAACCCGAGACCAUGGUUUGAAUCCCUGCUCAGCC